CAGCGUAGAGGCCAAAGGUUGUUCAUACAACGGAAGGAUCGUGUGGUCGAUUCCUUUGCAUGCUAAUAUUUUUUACACUUCUUCAAAAGUCAAUCCUCUUUAGCUCAUAUCUUGUUAUUACUUCUUCUGUAAUCAUUUAAUAUUUAUGAGAAAUUAAUUGCUUAUGUGAUAUUUUCGUGAUUCAAAAUUCCAACUUUGUAAAUUUUCA
rnacentral:lncRNA from 1 species